CUGUUGUAGCUACGGUGACCACAGACGCAUUCGGCUGACGGUCGCCAGUUAACAUGGACCCGUGUUAAUACGAAACACCGGACGCACCGGCAGGUCCAAAACCGGACGUAUGGAUGAGUGACCCUGACAGAAGCAGCAACAGACGGAAGAGGGUUCCAAAGAUCCUUGUAUUUACCAGGAAAACUACAGCUUAAGUUACAGCAUGCGUUGCUUACUAUAGAGAUGCUCUUAACAAUAUUGGAAAAGGAAGCGUGGGGUUUGGAUUGAGUGCAGCAGACUAUGAGAUCAGCAGCAUCCGCAGAGUGGCCAGCAAGACCAGCGUGACAAAAGAUCACUGAAAGCGAGUGGUCAUCCCAUCUCGAGGGUUGUAGCACCCAAUAAUGUAAUAAUAUCCUGAAAAUGUAAUAACGCCUGAAAAUGUAAGAAAAAGUGCACGUAACUUGAUCAAAAAUGUAGUAAAACCCAAUAAUGUGAUAACUUCACCAAUAAUGUAAUAACAUAUCCUGACUGAUAUUGUAAUAACAUUUUUACUGAUAAUGUAAUACCUUAUUACAUUAUGGGGAAUUUAUUACAUUUUCAGGUGGGUCUUUUUUUUUCAAAACUGAUAAUGUAA